rnacentral:misc_RNA from 1 species
CCGAGUUGUAAAACUCCAAACCCAUGUGAACAUACUCGUGUUGCCUCGGCGGCGAGCCUACCCUGGAGCUACCCUGUAGGUGCCUACCCGGUACCUACCCUGGAGCUACCCUGGAGCUACCCUGUACUUACCUACCCGGUACCUACCCUGUAGCGCUGGCGGACCGCCGAAGGACCACCUAAACUCUUGUUUCUAUGUGGCACAUCUGAGUUACACAUAUAUAAAUAAGUCA